CCAACAUAUAUACUACAUUCUCAAACUUUCAAUGAUAAUUGUGCAAGUCUUAUUAAAUAAAAAAGGUUACGAACUCUUGAAAUAAACAUAUUAAGAAAAAUAUUUGAGAGUCACAAAAUCAGUGGCUCAAAUAGUUCAAAAUUGUCAAAACGAUAUCGUUUUGACAGUUUCGAGCCAUUCGAACCACUAAAUUUCGGGCCACUAACCAUUGCUGACAUAUUAAUACAAGUAAUCAUCGUCUAUCACAAAUUAAAUAAAUAAUUAUAUAAAAUAUUUAAUAUUAAAAUAACUUGCACAAUAUGCACCCACACAGCCUAUUUUGACAUCUGAGUUAAAAGUCAAUUUUUUGUCUUUUUAAUUUUUUAGAGUUACAUAAUCUUUUUAUUUUUUAAAUUUUUUUCAAAAAAUAAA